rnacentral:rRNA from 1 species
AUUGAACGCUGGCGGCAGGCCUAACACAUGCAAGUCGAGCGGAGCGGCGGACGGGUGAGUAAUUCCUAGGAAUCUGCCUGGUAGUGGGGGAUAACGUCCGACAACGGGCGCUAAUACCGCAUACUCUCAGAUGAGCCUAGGUCGGAUUAGCUAGUUGGUGGGUUAAAGGCAUACCAAGGCGACGAUCCGUAACUGGUCUGAGAGGAUGAUCAGUCACACUGGAACUGAGACACGGGCCAGACGCCUACGGGAGGCAGCAGUGGGGAAUAUUGGACAAUGGGCGAAAGCGUGAUCCAGCCAUGCCGCGUGUGUGAAGAAGGUCUUCGGAUUGUAAAGCACGUUAAGUUGGGAGGCGGUACCAACAGAAGAAGCACCGGCUAACUUCGUGCCAGCAGCCGCGGUAAUAC